GCCUCUGGGGUUUCCAUCCAAGCUGCUCUUUGAAGGCCGCACUGUGUCAAAGCCUUUGUUGAUGCCAGGGACACAGCCCACCACAGGCCAUACCCAAAGGCCAGAGUCAGAGCACAAUUUUGAAGAUUACAGAAAACUCCAAAGAGAUUAAAGAGAUGGAAUAAAGGAUCCCAGCCCCCGAAAAGAGAAAGCUUUGUGUCUGUAGCCAUAGCCCUCAGCAAUCAGACAUCCUCCUCACUAAUGUGAGGUCAGGAGGGGACUAGAAAUGCUCAGAGGAUGGACUGCCUCUGGCCAGUGCAGGGGAGAGGCAGGGGUGUUGAGGCACAGGAGCCAGAUGAGAGGAACGUCAGCAGCAAAGCAGUAAGAAGAACAUGAGAGUUUCUUGAUAGUAAUAGAACUUCCUACACAGACUGGGAACUGGAUUCUAGCCUGAGGGGAUGUGACAACAUAGUGGCCCAGAAUUUUCACUUUGGAAUUAACUGCUUUGGACCAGGAAGAAGCACUGAGCCUAGAAAGGCAGGAGGCACAGGACUGUGUGGGCUUCUGUCUGGCAGGGACAUAUGAGCUUCAUAGGGCGAAUGAAUCGGGGGCAGGAUAAAGCAUAGGCCUCCACCCUCACAGUGCUCUUAGCCAUCUCAGGCUUCCCGGAACACUGCUACCAGGCUGCCUGCUGGAGCCCUUUACACAGGCCUUCCUGCUUGGGUUCUCUUCUGCAGGCUGCGUAAACCAGUCCUGUUGUAGCCCUUGUAGCAUCUGCUGUAGUGAUCUGGUUUGGGUUUCAGUAUUGCUUGCAAUGGUUUGGAAGGAAAUGGGAAGUUUGCCUUCUAACUACAUUUUCUUUUUGAUUCAAGAACCCUAGGAGUUCUACAACCACUGGGCCUAAAACUAAAAUAAAGGAAAAAUAAAUAAAAGGAAGCAAAAACAUCUAACUGGUAUAGCCUGGCAGCAUUGCCAGAGACCUCAGGGGCCCAGGCUUGUUCUGUCUUUUGCUCUGCCAUCCCUAGGCUGGACAGCACAGAAGAGGCAGUACAUCUUAACAAAAUCAGGGUUCUGGAAGAAGGGAGGGGUGGUGAAUGGUUGUUGCAAUCAACAGUUCAUACUUCAAUGGAAAGAAGGUGGGAUUUGAUUCCUGGUCACAAAUCUUCACUCUGUCAUCUGCUAUCUGUGUGCCCUCAGUUAUAUAUUCACAGGAAGUUGCCAAAAUGGUAGGGUCUGUGUACCCUUCACCCAGUUUCUCUCAAUGGAUAUAUCUUACAUAAUCAUAGUGCAGCAUCAAAACCAGUAAACAGACAUUGGUGCAAGUCUCCCAUCAAGGAGUGAUGUCUGUUUCUCCACUUCUUGAAUCUGGGCUGGCCUUGCCAAUAGAAUAUGGCAGAAGUGACAUUUUUCCAGUUCUGAGUCAAAGCCUGAGGAGGCCUUGCAUGCUUCCACUCUCUCUUGCAACCCUGCACUGCCGCAUAUUAACAAGACUUAUCAACAAGCCUGGGAUAGCCUGGUAGAUGAUGAAAGAUAUAUGGCCCGCUUGCUCCUAUCACACCAGCUGAUAGCCAGCCAACCCUAAGAAGCAAAGUCACCUAGCUGAUUAGUAGCUGACCACUGACACAAAAGUAAGAUCAUCUGAGACCAGAAGACAGCCCAUCUGAGCUCAGCCCAAAUUACUGACCCACAAAAUAAUAAUCAAUAAAUGGUUAUUAUUUUUAUGUUACUGAA